rnacentral:rRNA from 1 species
ACACGUAGGAGACAAGCGUUAUCCGGAUUUAUUGGGCGUAAAGAGCAUGUAGGCGGGUUCCCAAGUCGGACGUGAAAUCUUUCGGCUUAACUGAGAGAGGUCGUUCGAAACUAGGAGUCUUGAGGGUAGGAGAGGGGAGUAGAAUUCCGGGUGUAGUGGUGGAAUACGUAGAUAUCCGGAGGAAUACCAGUGGCGAAGGCGGCUCCCUGGCCUAUGCCUGACGCUGAGAUGCGAAAGCGUGGGUAGCAAACGGGAUUAGAUACCCCGGUAGUCCACGCCCUAAACGAUGGAUACUAGGUGUCGGCGGUCUUUACCCCGCCGGUGCCGCAGUUAACGCGAUAAGUAUCCCGCCUGGGGACUACGGUCGCAAGACUAAA